GCCAUUCCAUCAAAAAUACUAAAAUUUUUUGUUGAUUUAAGUUUUACAUUUUUUGUUGCCAAGAUGAAAUAUUCUCGUUCAUGAUCUUAUGCAAGAAUGCUUCCUCCACAUUCAGAUUCUUUUGUACUGCAAAUGUUUCCGUGAAUUUACCAAAUCAUGAUUAAUAUUAUCUUUCUCUUCUUAAAUAUGAUUACAACGUAGGGGAAAAUAUCAAUGGAGAAAGUCCUCUGGCUGAGUUUAAACUGGACCCACCCUUUCAAGCAACUUUAGCUGAGUUUUUGCAAUAUUAAAAAAGAGAAAAUCCCACAGCUUAACUCUUUUAUAAUUCCUAUAUCUGUUUCGGGAUUUAUUAAUUUGUCUUUCAUAAUCUAUAUAUUUGGAACCAAUCGAAGAAGUUUGAUUAAUAGAAGAGGUUUGAUUACUCUAAACGAAAGGUAGAUGAUAAAAGAAAUAAAAAAACACAAAUAAAGAAAGAUUAUAGUCUGGUAAGCAAAUUCCCCAAUAGUGGGUUUGGAAUCUUACCGGAAUUCAUCAUUUGCAAACCUUCAGAUAAGAUUUGAUUUUCCAAACCCCGAGUCUUCAGUAAGAACUGUCUUGAAUAGAUAAUCACAUUCUUCAUGAAAUGCAUUAGCCAUUUAUUUUGUAUUUCUUUUGCUCUGAAUCUCUCUGAUCAAGAAAAACAAAAGAAAAAAAAAAACUUUGAGAAGAAAAUGAAGAAGAUAAGUAUAGGGAAAUAUCUAUAUGUAUAUCAGUACUUUCAGCAGUACCUUUGGCAUUGUUUUUUGGAGGGUACAGAGUAUUUACAUGGGAAAACAUUGAGGAAAAGACAUCAUGGCUGUUUCCUGAUGUUAUCAGUAUCUGUGGUUGUCAUUAACAAGCAGGCCAAAUAUUAAUUUUCUUAUUAUAUAUUUAUGCUGAUGUGUCGAAGCUUGAUUAGAAGGUCUUCCCUCGUACAAAUUGAUGAUUUAGCUUAUUCAGAAGAAAUUAAUUUUGGUUUCUCUAAAAGUUGUUUAUUAGUGAUCAUAGUUAAUCAUUCCAUUGAAUUAUCUCACCUGAAACAUAUAUUUUUUUAACAGCAUAAUUUCUUAGAAGAAAAUGUGGCAAAAUAAAAGACAGUUUUUUGUCAGCUAAAGAAAAAAUCUCUUAAACUUCAUGUCUACUGAAGACCAAUUCGGUUAAACUUACCAAAAUAAAAAGAUUAACUAUUACAAUUCCAAUUUUUGAAGAUUAUGAAUAGUAGUGAGUUGAGAUGGGUCUUAGUGCUCAAGGAAGCUGCAAAAGGGCAAAAUUAUCAACCAGACUUUCAAGGACACUGUGACUUUUAUGCUACAUAGCUUGGACAGUGAAGAAUUAAUAGAGUUUGCAGUGGUGACAUGGAGUCUUUGGAAGAGGAGGAACAAUUUCAUCUUCCAAAAAAGAUUUCUUACUCCUAAUAGACUGCUUAAACAGAUAUCUCAAAGAAUACAGGACCUCAAAGCUAUUAAUCUGGCUUUUCCAAUUCAACAGACCCUUACCCCAGUGCAUAGAUGUGUAUGGGUUGCUCCUCCAAAGGCUAUCAUCAAGAUCAAUUGGGAUGUUGCAGUUGACAAGAACACUAGUAAAAUUUGCGUGGGAGCUGCUGCGAGGGACUGGGAAGGACAUGUACUGGCCACUAUGACGUUGAACAGAUCCCUUUUUUCCAGAUCCAUUUUUUGCAGAAACAUAUGCUGCCCUUCAUGCAACUAUUCUGGGGAUUGAGCUGGGUUUCAAGAGGAUCAUACUAGAAGGGGAUGCUCUUCUUGUUGUCAAGGCUAUUGAAAGCACAAAAACAACUUUGGAUAGUAAAGGCAUCCUCAUUUGUGAUGUUAAAAAAAUGCUUUGUUAGUAUGAUAGCUGGGCUGUUAAACAUGUAAGGAGAGAAGCAAAUGUUGUUGCUCAUCCUCUAGGACAAAAUGUAUUAUCUAUCUCUGAUGUCAUCAUUGACAUAGAGGAAAUUCCAUUUUCUAUUCAAUCUCUUUUAUAGAGCUUUUUUUUAUCAAUAAAAGAUUUUCUUCCCCUAAGAAGAAAAGAAUACGAGGCGCUUGUAACUUCUUGGAGUCUGUAUUCAUGAUAUAUUUUGAAAUUCUAGCAAUUUCUAUUUUACCUUCUGAAAAUAUGUUUUACUUGCACAAAUUAGUUCUCACAGAUCCCACACCUGCACAACUUUAAGUUGUUUAUCUGAGUUUAUGAUUAUGUUUUGUUUCUCAAGUUUUGGCUAGUUGUUGGUCUGUUUGUGGGAUUGGAAUUAGCUAUUAUUUUGGUUUCUGAUAUGGGUAUAUAUCUUUUGGAUGAUGCUUUUUAUACUUGCAGAAUGACAGAAGAAGUUGCGCUACAAGUGGAAAUAUAUGGGCUCCAGACAUGCCUACCCUGGGUUCCAUUUCCAGGGCUGCUUUUGAAAUAGAUGAUUAUACGAGAACCGUGGAAAUCCUGCACAAAAGGAUUCACUUAAAGCUGGCCAUGAGCAGAAAGGAAAAGAGGCUGUUGCAGAUGUGGAUGAUGUGGUGGCCAGUGCAGCACUUAGAGGCCUACAAACGGCCUUAUUCUAGCAAAGAUCAAAUACCUGCUUCAGACGAUUUCUAUGAAGUAUCCAAUGUUUGUAGAGAAGGCAAUGGAGCUGCUCAUUUAAUACCAACAACAGUUGCAGCAGCACCUCAUCUCUUCUUGAGCACUUGUACAUUCAAGAUUAACUCUUUCCUUUUAUAUGGGUACCUCUCUAUCUCUGAUGAAUAUUUCUUUUGAUCUGCGAUGCUUGCAGAUGGUUCAAAAGACCGUUGCAAAUUGUUGCAGCUUCAAAGUGCCAUCUGAAAAAUGAAUGUGCAAGUACUGCUGUCUUUGCCUAAACUUACCAUAAA